rnacentral:lncRNA from 1 species
UUACGUGAAGUCUUACUUGAGAAUGUAUCAGAUACCUAAUUGUGGAAGAUAGAAUGGAAAUUGCAACAACAAAAUUUUAACUUUAAUUGAAUAUUAAACAUAUUCAAAUUAAACCUUAAUAAUACUUAAAAAGCUUUAAUCAAAUUUAAAAGAAACCUUAAAGAAAUUAUAAAAGAAAUAAUAAAAAAUCUUAAAUGAAUUCAAAGAAAUCUACAAUAAAUCUUUAAAGAAUCCUUAAGAAAUCCUAAAGAAAUAUUAGAAUAAUUACAAAUAUAUCUUAAAUAAAUCUAAAUCAAGUUUUAAUAUAAUCUUAAUUGAAAUCCAAGAGGACUCAAUUGAAUCCUAAACCAAAUCCUAAACUCUAAGCAAAUCCUAAAUCUUAAAUCCUAAAUAAAUCCUAAAUCCUAUGCAAAUAUUGAAUCCUAAAUCCUAAACCAAAUCCCAAAUUCUAGUCUAUUUCCAAAUCAUAACCAAA